UACGAUGGGGGCUAGCGCUGCUCGGAAUCACUGGGCGUAAAGCGUACGUAGGCGGGCUUUUAAGUCGGUGGUGAAAUCCUGGAGCUCAACUCCAGAACUGCCUCCGAUACUGGAAGUCUUGGAGUCCGGGAGAGGUGAGUGGAACUGCGAGUGUAGAGGUGAAAUUCGUAGAUAUUCGCAAGAACACCAGUGGCGAAGGCGGCUCACUGGCCCGGUACUGACGCUGAGGUGCGAAAGCGUGGGGAGCAAACAGG
rnacentral:rRNA from 1 species